rnacentral:rRNA from 1 species
AACGUAGGAGACAAACGUUAUCCGGAGUUACUGGGCGUAAAGGGCGUGUAGGUGGUUUUGUAAGUCUGGCGUGAAAUUUUUCGGCUUAACCGGGAAAGGUCGUCGGAUACUGCGGAGCUAGAGGACGGUAGAGGCGUGUGGAAUUCCAGGUGUAGCGGUGAAAUGCGUAGAUAUCUGGAGGAACACCGGUGGCGGAAGGCGGCCUUCUGGACGGAUGACUGACGCUGAGACGCGAAAGCGUGGGGAGCAAACAGG